AAUUCGUUGGUGGUCAGACCAGACACUGACGUGACCCACAUAAAUAUACACCGCGGGAGUAGACUGACCUUGAGAAAGUGGGUUGGGAAGUUUGUUUUCGAGGUGAACUGUCUGUACGGAAUGUGGUGACUGACGGGUUGACGGAUUCUUGCAGUUGUACUGUGUAAGGGAAUUCCUACAUUGUCAGAAUGCCUGGAAUUGACUUUCUCCGGCUUCAAGAUGCAAAAGAAAAUUCGCCACAGGCAAGGUCCAUGCUUGGACUUUUUGAAGAAGACACCAGCCUUUUUACUGGUUAUGUGAAUGGUUUGCUGGCUGCUUGCAGGAGGGUGGUAGACUGUGAGACUGCAUUAUCAGUUGCUAUCCAGACACUAUCACAGAAGCUUCAAGAAUAUGAAACAUUG